AAGAAACUAAAAGACUUAUUAGCUAGCUGAUAUACCCAAACGAAGAAAGCUGAUACCAAAGGGGUUUUCGUCUUCUGCAUCUUCCUCCUCUCAAUCUCUCUCAACCAAAGGGGUUUUCUCCCACUCCUAUAAAACAUUAUCCAUCCAAUUCCAUCAAAUCUCUUGAAUCUAUCCUUAAAUCGCAAAUGUAAACUGAUACCUACCCAAAGCCCUAAUCAGAAAUUAUAUUCUCAAAUUAGGUAUGUGUUUGAAUCAUAAAAAUAAUUCUGGGUUUUUCUGAUUUGAGCUUUCGAUUUCGGAGAAAGGUAAGUUUUUUACUUAAUUUUCUUUUGUUUAUGAUUUUUGGGGUUUUGAUUUAAGGUGAUUUGAUAGCUGGUAUUUUUUACGCGAUUCUUUGGACGCGAAAGAGCAGUUUUCAACUGAUUCUUUUGUUCUUUACGCGAUUCUUUGUUCUUUACACGAUUUUGUUUUUUCCCUUUUUGUUUAUUUGGUUGGUUUAUUUAUUGUCUUUUUUUUACUGUGCUUGUUUAUUUGGUUGGUUUAUUUUUAUUUUGAUUUUUAAGUAUGAUUAAUUUGAUUUUUGAUCCACAAUUGAAUCUCCAAAUGCAAAAACUGCUUUUACAACUACGUUUUUAAGUACAUGCAGCUAGCGAGAAUGAUUAUUUCUUCUAUUUCACCUUUAAUUUCUCUGACCCAUUUGAAAAUAUACAGGAAUCAGAAGUAAUUUUUCUUGAAUAGCCAUCGCCUGAAGCCCUUUCUGAGUGUCGACUGCUCUUUCGCUGGGUAAGUUGAAAACUUCUUUAGUUUCUCAUUUUAAACAAUAGGGAUUUGAGACCUCACAUUGAUUGGAAAGAUGGUCAAUGGUUUACUAAUGCUCGGGUAUGGUCCCUUUGAAUUCCUUUGGUUUUCAGGUCCUGUUGUUGCUUUUAUUAAAUCAGUCUACUAUUAUAUUCUUUCUUUCCGAGUGGUCAUAAUGGCGGGUAGUAGUUCUAUUGGUAGCUUGUAUAAUCCAUCUACUGUUGUAAGUUGUAAAUAGCAAUGCACCAGUUUAAUGUUGCAGCUGCCGCCUCCC
rnacentral:lncRNA from 1 species